rnacentral:rRNA from 1 species
UACGUAGGGUGCGAGCGUUGUCCGGAAUUAUUGGCGUAAAGAGCUCGUAGGCGGUCUGUCGCGUCGAAUGUGAAACCCGGGCUCAACUCCGGCUUGCAUUCGAUACGGCAGGCUAGAGUUCGGUAGGGAGUCUGGAAUUCCUGUGUGAGCGGUGAAAUGCGCAGAUAUCAGGAGGAACACCGGUGGCGAAGGCGGACUCUGGCCGAUACUGACGCUGAGGAGCGAAGCAUGGGAGCGAACAGG